CGCCAGACUCCUACGGGAGGCAGCAGUGGGGAAUAUUGCACAAUGGGGGGAACCCUGAUGCAGCGACGCCGCGUGAGUGAAGAAGUAUUUCGGUAUGUAAAGCUCUAUCAGCAGGGAAGAAGAUGACGGUACCUGAUUAAGAAGCCCCGGCUAAAUACGUGCCAGCAGCCGCGGUAAUACGUAUGGAGCAAGCGUUAUCCGGAUUUACUGGGUGUAAAGGGAGCGCAGGCGGCCUUGCAAGUCUGAUGUGAAAGGCCGGGGCCCAACCCCGGGACUGCAUUUGGAACUGUGCUGCUAGAGUGUCGGAGAGGCAGGCGGAAUUCCUAGUGUAGCGGUGAAAUGCGUAGAUAUCAGGAGGAACACCGGUGGCGAAGGCGGCCUGCUGGACUGCAACUGACGUUGAGGCCCGAAAGCGUGGGGAGCAAACAGGAUUAGAUACCCGAGUA
rnacentral:rRNA from 1 species